UACGGGAGGCAGCAGUGGGGAAUAUUGCACAAUGGGCGAAAGCCUGAUGCAGCUAUGCCGCGUGUAUGAAGAAGGCCUUAGGGUUGUAAAGUACUUUCAUCGGGGAGGAAAAAACAAAACUAAUAAUUUUAUUUCUUGACGUUACCCGAAAAAGAAGCACCGGCUAACUCCGUGCCAGCAGCCGCGGUAAUACGGAGGGUGCUAGCGUUAAUCAGAAUUACUGGGCGUAAAGAGCACGUAGGUGGUUUUUUUAAGUCAGAUGUGAAAUCCCCGGGCUUAACCUGGGAAUGGCAUUCAAGACUGGUUAGCUAGAGUCUUGUAGAGGGGGGUAGAAUUCCAUGUGUAGCGGUGAAAUGCGUAGAGAUGUGGAGGAAUACCGGUGGCGAAGGCGGCCCCCUGGACAAAGACUGACGCUCAUGUGCGAAAGCGUGGGGAGCAAACAGGGAUUAGAUACC
rnacentral:rRNA from 1 species